rnacentral:rRNA from 1 species
UACGUAGGCAGCGAGCGUUGUUCGGAGUUACUGGGCGUAAGGGUGUGUAGGCGGUUGUUUAAGUUUGGUGUGAAAUCUCCCGGCUCAACUGGGAGGGUGCGCCGAAUACUGAAUGACUUGGAGUGCGGGAGAGGUGAGUGGAAUUCCUGGUGUAGCGGUGAAAUGCGUAGAUAUCAGGAGGAACACCGGUGGUGUAGACGGCUCACUGGACCGUAACUGACGCUGAGACACGAAAGCGUGGGUAGCAAACAGG